rnacentral:rRNA from 1 species
CCUACGGGUGGCAGCAGUAGGGAAUCUUCCACAAUGGGCGAAAGCCUGAUGGAGCAACGCCGCGUGGGUGAAGAAGGUCUUCGGAUCGUAAAACCCUGUUGUUAGAGAAGAAAGUGCGUGAGAGUAACUGUUCACGUUUCGACGGUAUCUAACCAGAAAGCCACGGCUAACUACGUGCCAGCAGCCGCGGUAAUCCGUAGGUGGCAAGCGUUAUCCGGAUUUAUUGGGCGUAAAGGGAACGCAGGCGGUCUUUUAAGUCUGAUGUGAAAGCCUUCGGCUUAACCGGAGUAGUGCAUUGGAAACUGGGAGACUUGAGUGCAGAAGAGGAGAGUGGAACUCCAUGUGUAGCGGUGAAAUGCGUAGAUAUAUGGAAGAACACCAGUGGCGAAAGCGGCUCUCUGGACUGUAACUGACGUUGAGGCUCGAAAGCGUGGGGAGCAAACAGGAUUAGAUACCCCUGUAGUC